rnacentral:rRNA from 1 species
GUACACUCCUACGGGAGGCAGCAGUGGGGAAUAUUGGACAAUGGGCGCAAGCCUGAUCCAGCCAUGCCGCGUGAGUGAUGAAGGCCCUAGGGUUGUAAAGCUCUUUCACCGGUGAAGAUAAUGACGGUAACCGGAGAAGAAGCCCCGGCUAACUUCGUGCCAGCAGCCGCGGUAAUACGAAGGGGGCUAGCGUUGUUCGGAUUUACUGGGCGUAAAGCGCACGUAGGCGGACUAUUAAGUCAGGGGUGAAAUCCCGGGGCUCAACCCCGGAACUGCCUUUGAUACUGGUAGUCUUGAGUUCGAGAGAGGUGAGUGGAAUUCCGAGUGUAGAGGUGAAAUUCGUAGAUAUUCGGAGGAACACCAGUGGCGAAGGCGGCUCACUGGCUCGAUACUGACGCUGAGGUGCGAAAGCGUGGGGAGCAAACAGGAUUAGAAACCCGGGUAGUCCCA